rnacentral:rRNA from 1 species
AGUCGAGCGAACGGACGAGAAGCUUGCUUCUCUGAUGUUAGCGGCGGACGGGUGAGUAACACGUGGAUAACCUACCUAUAAGACUGGGAUAACUUCGGGAAACCGGAGCUAAUACCGGAUAAUAUUUUGAACCGCAUGGUUCAAAAGUGAAAGACGGUCUUGCUGUCACUUAUAGAUGGAUCCGCGCUGCAUUAGCUAGUUGGUAAGGUAACGGCUUACCAAGGCAACGAUGCAUAGCCGACCUGAGAGGGUGAUCGGCCACACUGGAACUGAGACACGGUCCAGACUCCUACGGGAGGCAGCAGUAGGGAAUCUUCCGCAAUGGGCGAAAGCCUGACGGAGCAACGCCGCGUGAGUGAUGAAGGUCUUCGGAUCGUAAAACUCUGUUAUUAGGGAAGAACAUAUGCGUAAGUAACUGUGCACAUCUUGACGGUACCUAAUCAGAAAGCCACGGCUAACUACGUGCCAGCAGCCGCGGUAAUACGUAGGUGGCAAGCGUUAUCCGGAAUUAUUGGGUGUAAAGCGCGCGUAGGCGGUUUUUUAAGUCUGAUGUGAAAGCCCACGGCUCAACCGUGGAGGGUCAUUGGAAACUGGAAAACUUGAGUGCAGAAGAGGAAAGUGGAAUUCCAUGUGUAGCGGUGAAAUGCGCAGAGAUAUGGAGGAACACCAGUGGCGAAGGCGACUUUCUGGUCUGUAA